rnacentral:lncRNA from 1 species
GCACAUACGAGUAUUUGCAUAAAAAACCUGGCCAUAAGUCAAAUAUUCAAAGUUUGGCUAAACUCAACGCAACCAUCACUUUCUGAUAGCCAAAUAACCUGUUCAUAACAUACCGCACCCCCCGCGCCCUUGUCCCCUCCCCGCGAGGCACACAAGUAGUCGGAACUCAAUCUUCGUCCAGUGCGGUCCAUUGUUUUCUAUAAUUCAAUUUUUCGUGCUCCUAACAUUUGGUGUUUUAGUCGUUUUGUUGAUAGUUGGUGGGAAAGGCUCUUCGAAUAUGGAAGUUCAAGAUUCAAUUGGGAAUGUCAAGAACCCAUUCUGUUCGGAGACCAUAAGUCUUUUGCUCCCUGACGCAGAAAAUUCAUCACUGGAAAGUAAUGACGAAGAACACAACACAACGGCAACAGAUGAAAAUAAUGAAUCAAUAAUACAUUUUUUGUAUUUUUUUUUUAUAAUAAACGUUUGAAAACUA